rnacentral:sRNA from 1 species
ACGCGCCAGGAUCGCCCCCCGUCAGCGAGUUUCGCCCACGGGGGCCAAAAUC